rnacentral:rRNA from 1 species
UACGGAGGAUGCGAGCGUUAUCCGGAUUUAUUGGGUUUAAAGGGUGCGUAGGCGGAUCGUUAAGUCAGUGGUCAAAUUGAGGGGCUCAACCCCUUCCCGCCAUUGAAACUGGCGAUCUUGAGUGGAAGAGAAGUAUGCGGAAUGCGUGGUGUAGCGGUGAAAUGCUUAGAUAUAACUUAGAACCCCGAUAGCGAAGGCAGCUUACCAGACUGUUACUGACGCUGAAGCACGAGAGCGUGGGUAGCGAACAGG